GUUCUUGUAGUUGAGCUAACAACGAUGGCUUUUCAGGCCAUAAACCCCGGGUAAAUCCCGGGCGAGAACU
rnacentral:tRNA from 1 species